CCACAGUACACAGUACAGGCAUUACCACCAUGUCAGACAGGUACAACUUCCUGUCCACCACAGUACACAGUACAGGCAUUACCACCAUGUCAGACAGGUACAACUUCCUGUCCACCACAGUACACAGUGUAGGCAUUACCACCAUGUCAGACAGGUACAACUUCCUGUCCACCACAGUACACAGUGCAGGCAUUACCACCAUGUCAGACAGGUACAACUUCCUGUCCACCACAGUGCAGGCAUUACCACCAUGUCAGACAGGUACAACUUCCUGUCCACCACAGUACACAGUACAGGCAUUACCACCAUGUCAGACAGGUACAACUUCCUGUCCACCACAGUACACAGUGCAGGCAUUACCACUAUGUCAGACAGGUACAACUUCCUGUCCACCACAGUACACAGUACAGGCAUUACCACCAUGUCAGACAGGUACAACUUCCUGUCCACCACAGUACACAGUACAGGCAUUACCACCAUGUCAGACAGGUACAACUUCCUGUCCACCACAGUACACAGUACAGGCAUUACCACCAUGUCAGACAGGUACAACUUCCUGUCCACCACAGUACACAGUACAGGCAUUACCACCAUGUCAGACAGGUACAACUUCCUGUCCACCACAGUACACAGUACAGGCAUUACCACCAUGUCAGACAGGUACAACUCCCUUGAAACUUUGCAGAUUGCAGCGUAUGAAUAUAUAAUUUAAUAUACCUCACAAAAAACAAAAACAAACUAACUGUCAAUAAAUAUGACAUUGAUUCACGUUUACUCAUUGAUGUAGUAGUGAGUAUUGUGACGUUUACUCAUUGAUGUAGUAGUGAGUAUUGUAAUGUUUACUCAUUGAUGUAGUAGUGAGUAUUGUAACGUUUACUCAUUGAUGUAGUAGUGAGUAUUGUAACGUUUACUCAUUGAUGUAGUAGUGAGUAUUGUGACGUUUACUCAUUGAUGUAGUAGUGAGUAUUGUAAUGUUUACUCAUUGAUGUAGUAGUGAGUAUUGUGACGUUUACUCAUUGAUGUAGUAGUGAGUAUUGUGACGUUUACUCAUUGAUGUAGUAGUGAGUAUUGUAACGUUUACUCAUUGAUGUAGUAGUGAGUAUUGUAACGUUUACUCAUUGAUGUAGUAGUGAGUAUUGUGACGUCUACUCAUUGAUGUAGUAGUGAGUAUUGUGACGUCUACUCAUUGAUGUAGUAGUGAGUAUUGUAACGUUUACUCAUUGAUGUAGUAGUGAGUAUUGUGACGUUUACUCAUUGAUGUAGUAGUGAGUAUUGUAACGUUUACUCAUUGAUGUAGUAGUGAGUAUUGUAACGUUUACUCAUUGAUGUAGUAGUGAGUAUUGUAAUGUUUACUCAUUGAUGUAGUAGUGAGUAUUGUGAUGUUUACUCAUUGAUGUAGUAGUGAGUAUUGUAACGUUUACUCAUUGAUGUAGUAGUGAGUAUUGUAACGUUUACUCAUUGAUGUAGUAGUGAGUAUUGUGAUGUUUACUCAUUGAUGUAGUAGUGAGUAUUGUGAUGUUUACUCAUUAAUGUAGUAGUGAGUAUUGUAACGUUUACUCAUUGAUGUAGUAGUGAGUAUUGUAACGUUUACUCAUUGAUGUAGUAGUGAGUAUUGUAAUGUUUACUCAUUGAUGUAGUAGUGAGUAUUGUAAUGUUUACUCAUUGAUGUAGUAGUGAGUAUUGUGAUGUUUACUCAUUGAUGUAGUAGUGAGUAUUGUAACGUUUACUCAUUGAUGUAGUAGUGAGUAUUGUAACGUUUACUCAUUGAUGUAGUAGUGAGUAUUGUGAUGUUUACUCAUUGAUGUAGUAGUGAGUAUUGUGAUGUUUACUCAUUAAUGUAGUAGUGAGUAUUGUAACGUUUACUCAUUGAUGUAGUAGUGAGUAUUGUAACGUUUACUCAUUGAUGUAGUAGUGAGUAUUGUAAUGUUUACUCAUUGAUGUAGUAGUGAGUAUUGUAAUGUUUACUCAUUAAUGUAGUAGUGAGUAUUGUAACGUUUACUCAUUGAUGUAGUAGUGAGUAUUGUAACGUUUACUCAUUGAUGUAGUAGUGAGUAUUGUAAUGUUUACUCAUUGAUGUAGUACUGAGUAUUGUAAUGUUUACUCAUUGAUGUAGUAGUGAGUAUUGUGAUGUUUACUCAUUGAUGUAGUAGUGAGUAUUGUAACGUUUACUCAUUGAUGUAGUAGUGAGUAUUGUAACGUUUACUCAUUGAUGUAGUAGUGAGUAUUGUGAUGUUUACUCAUUGAUGUAGUAGUGAGUAUUGUGAUGUUUACUCAUUAAUGUAGUAGUGAGUAUUGUAACGUUUACUCAUUGAUGUAGUAGUGAGUAUUGUAACGUUUACUCAUUGAUGUAGUAGUGAGUAUUGUAAUGUUUACUCAUUGAUGUAGUAGUGAGUAUUGUAAUGUUUACUCAUUGAUGUAGUAGUGAGUAUUGUGAUGUUUACUCUUUGAUGUAGUAGUGAGUAUUGUAACGUUUACUCAUUGAUGUAGUAGUGAGUAUUGUGAUGUUUACUCAUUGAUGUAGUAGUGAGUAUUGUGAUGUUUACUCAUUGAUGUAGUAGUGAGUAUUGUAAUGUUUACUCAUUGAUGUAGUAGUGAGUAUUGUAAUGUUUACUCAUUGAUGUAGUAGUGAGUAUUGUAACGUUUACUCAUUGAUGUAGUAGUGAGUAUUGUGAUGUUUACUCAUUGAUGUAGUAGUGAGUAUUGUAACGUUUACUCAUUGAUGUAGUAGUGAGUAUUGUAAUGUUUACUCAUUGAUGUAGUAGUGAGUAUUGUAAUGUUUACUCAUUGAUGUAGUAGUGAGUAUUGUGAUGUUUACUCAUUGAUGUAGUAGUGAGUAUUGUAACGUCUACUCAUUGAUGUAGUAGUGAGUAUUGUAACGUCUACUCAUUGAUGUAGUAGUGAGUAUUGUGACGUUUACUCAUUGAUGUAGUAGUGAGUAUUGUAACGUUUACUCAUUGAUGUAGUAGUGAGUAUUGUAACGUCUACUCAUUGAUGUAGUAGUGAGUAUUGUAACGUCUACUCAUUGAUGUAGUAGUGAGUAUUGUGACGUUUACUCAUUGAUGUAGUAGUGAGUAUUGUAACGUUUACUCAUUGAUGUAGUAGUGAGUAUUGUAACGUCUACUCAUUGAUGUAGUAGUGAGUAUUGUAACGUUUACUCAUUGAUGUAGUAGUGAGUAUUGUAACGUUUACUCAUUGAUGUAGUAGUGAGUAUUGUGAUGUUUACUCAUUGAUGUAGUAGUGAGUAUUGUAAUGUUUACUCAUUGAUGUAGUAGUGAGUAUUGUGAUGUUUACUCAUUGAUGUAGUAGUGAGUAUUGUGAUGUUUACUCAUUGAUGUAGUAGUGAGUAUUGUGAUGUUUACUCAUUGAUGUAGUAGUGUGUAUUGUAACGGCUACUCAAUGAUGUAGUAGUGAGUAUUGUAAUGUUUACUCAUUGAUGUAGUAGUGAGUAUUGUAACGUUUACUCAUUGAUGUAGUAGUGAGUAUUGUGACGUUUACUCAUUGAUGUAGUAGUGAGUAUUGUAAUGUUUACUCAUUGAUGUAGUAGUGAGUAUUGUAAUGUUUACUCAUUGAUGUAGUAGUGAGUAUUGUAACGUUUACUCAUUGAUGUAGUAGUGAGUAUUGUAACGUUUACUCAUUGAUGUAGUAGUGAGUAUUGUAAUGUUUACUCAUUGAUGUAGUAGUGAGUAUUGUGAUGUUUACUCAUUGAUGUAGUAGUGAGUAUUGUAACGUUUACUCAUUGAUGUAGUAGUGAGUAUUGUAAUGUUUACUCAUUGAUGUAGUAGUGAGUAUUGUGAUGUUUACUCAUUGAUGUAGUAGUGAGUAUUGUAACGUUUACUCAUUGAUGUAGUAGUGAGUAUUGUAACGUUUACUCAUUGAUGUAGUAGUGAGUAUUGUAACGUUUACUCAUUGAUGUAGUAGUGAGUAUUGUAACGUUUACUCAUUGAUGUAGUAGUGAGUAUUGUAACGUUUACUCAUUGAUGUAGUAGUGAGUAUUGUAACGUUUACUCAUUGAUGUAGUAGUGAGUAUUGUAACGUUUACUCAUUGAUGUAGUAGUGAGUAUUGUGAUGUUUACUCAUUGAUGUAGUAGUGAGUAUUGUAACGUUUACUCAUUGAUGUAGUAGUGAGUAUUGUAACGUCUACUCAUUGAUGUAGUAGUGAGUAUUGUAACGUUUACUCAUUGAUGUAGUAGUGAGUAUUGUGAUGUUUACUCAUUGAUGUAGU